AAGAAACAGAGCCCUAGCUAGCAGCGAGGAUUGCAGUGCUUGUUCAGGACCUCGCGUACUGCAUCCCAAGCCAGUGGUGGGCCCAAUGGGUAGUUCAGAUAGGCACAAGACUACUCUGGAUUUUGGCACAAAAUUUUUCAGUACUGAUUCUCUCAGCCCAAAAAAACUUGGCCCAUGGCUCUGUUCAUCCUGUAGCAAGGCAGCGAGCGCUCCACCGGUCGCUUCCCCGUCUCCCCGACUCCCGCAGGCCGCCAGGCCGCAUCCCGCUGUCCCGCACUCCCGCAGUUAUGCACAGCAGCACAGGUCGUGACUCGAACUCGCGAGCGGCCGAGCGCCGCCGUGUCGGAGACCGAGGAGGAGCCGUCGCCGCCACGGUCCGCCAGGCGCCAGCGCUCCCAUGACCCCAUCCGCUCCCGGCUCCUGCAUAGGCGCUCCCGUCGUCUGCUCCCGUCCGGCUCCGGUCCGGCUGUCCCCUCCGCUCGACCCCCGAGCCCCCGACAGCGGAUGGCUCACGGCCAGGCGGCCAGCACUCAAGCAGCGCCGCAGCGGGCAGCGGCAGCGGCCACGGCACACGGCCAGCACAGGUGAAUUGGUGAGUUUAAUUUUUUCCCCAUAUGGCUAUGGCUUUAUGAUUUAGGGAUUUGAUUUUCUCUAAAUCUGUGAUUCUGUGAAACUGUGAGCCAAGAAUUGAAUCAAUUUUUUUAUGUUUAGGAAGUUGAGGCAUGAAGAAACCAAAUAUAGCAGUUCUUUUUCAGAAACAUGAGAAAGCGCAAAUUAAAGUAGCUUUUUAUAUUUAUGUAAGACCUUAUCUUAUAUAUAAUCUAUUUGUACAAGUUUCAGACCAAUUUAUGUAAGCUUUGAACAUUAAAUUGUAUUGUCGCAGUUUGUUUAUUUUAUAGUCAUUUUACCGAAUUUUUUCUUUGAA
rnacentral:lncRNA from 1 species